rnacentral:rRNA from 1 species
ACCAGACUCCUACGGGAGGCAGCAGUGGGGGAUAUUGCACAAUGGGGGGAACCCUGAUGCAGCGACGCCGCGUGGGUGAAGAAGCGCCUCGGCGCGUAAAGCCCUGUCAGCAGGGAAGAAAAUGACGGUACCUGAAGAAGAAGCCCCGGCUAACUACGUGCCAGCAGCCGCGGUAAUACGUAGGGGGCAAGCGUUAUCCGGAUUUACUGGGUGUAAAGGGGGCGCAGACGGCGAUGCAAGCCAGGAGUGAAAGCCCGGGGCCCAACCUCGGGACUGCUCUUGGAACUGCGUGGCUGGAGUGCAGGAGGGGCAGGCGGAAUUCCUGGUGUAGCGGUGAAAUGCGUAGAUAUCAGGAGGAACACCGGUGGCGAAGGCGGCCUGCUGGACUGCAACUGACGUUGAGGCCCGAAAGCGUGGGGAGCAAACAGGAUUAGAUACCCCAGUA